AUCAAGAAGGUAUCCCACUUACUUCAACCCGCGAAGAAGGAAGCACUACGAAGAUUGCAACGUCAAGCUCGGGAAGCUACUACCCAGAUAGAGAAAUCUUCGUCAUCACAUCACCAAACAACGAUGCAGGUGCCAGCCACCAAAAAACUCCUCGACGGGUUGGACAACUCGACGAUGUCUCACAAGAUGAGUUGUCAUCUAAUGCCCUGCAAGAUGAAACCUCUGAACAGAGAAAUCAAAGAAGGGCAUGCAAUGCUGCCUGAGCAGAUCAUCGUCGGCUACUAGCUACGAACAUUCCUAUCGUGAACCUCGAAAGAGCAUUCGACGCAGUGCAAGCUCGAGAGAGCUGGAUAAAGACCGCGGCACUCAUCACCCAUCACUCGCGAGUUACAGCACGGACUUAGCUGGAUCAUGAGAUGCAAGAUGAGGCACGCGGCAAACCCUCCUACGAGGAUUCUUUUAGCAUCGCGGCUAUCUCUACGAGCGCAAGAGUAUGUGGAGGGAAGGUGGCUCUAGUCUACGAGGAAUCUUCUAGCACCGGGGCGCUCUUUGAAAGCUUUCUACAAUCAAACAACAGCAAUCUAAAGCAAUCCAUCGCUACUCCGGAGAAGCAUGACCUUGGUCGACCCCCCAGUGGCCUAUUUAUAGCCAAGGGCCACAACCACCACCUACUCAGAAAUUACUACUCACUUGUGACGGUCAGCAAGGCACUCUCUGAGCCCACUCACGUGAAGGCAUUCAUCCACAACAAGAUAGAAAUGAAUAGUUCGCCCGUGAACACCUUUCAAAACUCAAUAGAGGUCAGAGUACUUUCAAACAAGCAACACCAAUAAUUGACAACCGCAGCGGGAAAUACGACUACUCGGUUAAACUCGGACUUGUUUCUCCCAACUACAAAGAUUAGUCAAGACGAUCAUUGAGCACAUUCGGACUUCAAAUAAAAUUCAGAAAAUUAUCUUGAGUACUCCCACAAAGUACUUGGCAAGUUACAACUCGAAAGAUCAACAAGACUAAGGCUCCUCUAAAGAGACAAACUCAAACAUCUUCGAAGCAAUUGGCUCAGCCUCCUUAAGAUACUGCACAUAAGCAUCUUCUGUACAGUUCCGAGCAACACUGUCACCAGCCGCCGUCAAAUCUGCCCUCAGGUAAUACGACUUGACCAUCGCAAGGACCUGUUUCCAAACAGCCUUACAGAGGCCAGCAACUUUACCCAGAGCAGUUUUUAGCCGCUCGACUAGUGAGCGAGGCCUAGAAUCAUCUUCAAGCAGAGCAAUGGUAUUGACCACCUCCUGCGCAGCACUAGUCAAUUCUUGGAGCUCACCUCGCAGCCUUUCUAUGGUCCUACCAUGGUCCCUACAAGCCACCAUCACCAUAGCAAGCAUAACUCCAUUUUGAUUUUUUCUAUUCCUCUCAUGUUCACAAGCAUCUUGAGCCUCAACCAAUGAUGCUCGGAGAUGGUCAGCCUCAUCAGCUACCCGGUCGUGAGCAUUCCUUCAAUCAUGCACUUGACUACUGACAAUAUCUUCUUUUCUCUUAAGUUCUGCACCAAAGUACCACAUAUCAGAACCCACAACUAUAGUCAAAUAUACUCAAAAAUCACGAGUACUCACCUUGAUACUUCUUGUUCAAGGAUUUAUAGCGGUUCUCCAAUCGCUCUUGCAGGACUUCAUGGUCACUCCACUCUACCGCAAAAGACUUUGCAGCAUCCUCAUGAACUCUCAAGGACUCUGUAAGUCGGCUACAUUCUUGCUCCAGUUGCGCCACUCGUUGCACAGUGUCAUUUCGCUCCUGGAGGGUCCGAGUAUUUCUUUGGGCUCUGUCAUACAGGUCCUGCAAGUAACUCAAAAGCAUGUUGUCAAGACUCGUCAAAAUGCAAUCAGUCAAAAGAUGAUAAGUUCACACACCUGAAAGCUCUGGAUAGCUCUUCGAAACUCUGACUCCGACGGCAGCUUGAGUACCGGACCCUCGGUGUUCUUAGCAAUCUGAGGCUCCAGACCUUCACCCAAAAUAGCCCCUGACAAACAAAACUCAUGGGUCAUCACAGGAUACAAUACAUCGACUUCAAAAAGCACCUGUACCCCAGCUACAUACCUGGUGCACUGACUUCACCCACUUUGGUCGCAUCAACUAAAGCCAAGGUGCCACCAAUAGUUGUUGAAGACAACACACCCCUAGAACUCGAGGAAACCAUUGGGACCUCCACUGAGCGGAUAACCUCUUGAAGCAUGGAGAUAGUGGCACCAAGAUGACUUGUGUCUUCAACCUAAGGCGCAUCGUCCAUCGACAAAUCAACUAAGGGACCAGAAAGUGUAGUCAGAAGACCAGCCUCCACUCUUGUGUCCACAGGAAUGGUAUCCUCAGCAUCCCUGGGUCAAAACACGAGGUGAUCACCCAUUUUUCGGAAGUUCAAAAAUACAAUCAAAAGAAAGAUUACACAAAAAGUCACUGAGAUGAUCGCGGUGGCAAUCACACACGUUUCUUCUCAAUGACUGCUGGUUGAGUACUCAGCACCACAGGGGCCGUCGGAGGUAUAACCUUUACUUUCUCGCCAAAUCCUGAAAAAAACAAGGAUGAGACUGCGAAGUUUCAGACUACCAAAUAAUCAGAAUACUCACCACUAGCGAUAACAUCGGACAACAAAGCACCAGUAGCAACCACCGGUGUCUUCACGACAUCAGUCACCUCAGAAGAUGCACCCCCGGUAACCUGCUCGGGGGCUACCAACUCAGGACCUGCCAGUGCCGGGGCUGCAGGCUUGGAGGCUGCUGUUCCCGAGUUUAUGAGUGGCACCCCCACCAGCAACUCUUCAACAGUCGCGAGACUGACAACGGCGUCCUUAGCAAUCACGACUACCUCACCAGAAGUAGCCUCAUCAUCGCCCGCAGUUGUGUCAUUGGCCUUCCCAAUCGACCAAAAUCAUCAGCAUUCCUUAAAGACAAUUUUCCAAAAAUUACCUAAGACAACGACUACGUACCUUGGUACUCUGCGACCCCUCAUGGGUCAAACUCAAUGACGAAAUAGGCUGCACAGCAGCUUUCUUUCGAACUACUCACCGGUUCAUCAUCAGUGUCAGCCACGGCGAUCUCCCUUCCCUCAGGCUGCGGCAAGAAGCCGAAAAGCACCCGGGACUGCAAACAAACAAUUGUUACUCGAAGGUAUUGCCAUACCUCAAAAUACACAAGUCAAGUAAAGGAACAUACCUCUGUUGGCCCAUAGCAACAAUCAAACUGACGAAGAACUCUCAGAAGCACUGGUACCCCCUGAUAGUUUCCUAAAAAACUUCCCUAGCAACGCCUCCACAUCAUCAUCAGAUAUGUCAUCAAGGGACAUCCGUGAUGGGUCAUCAAAACCCAAGUACUCCUAGCCUGAGCGAGCUCGUUUCUGCAAAGGCUGAACCAUCCGCUUGAGAAAACUGGCGGCCACAUUGAUGCCAGUCAAGCCCAACGAUUUCAACUCGGCAAUCUGAGUCAGCAGGUUAGCAAUUUCAGGGGUGUCCUUGGGCUCGCUCACCCAAUUAUCCACAUGCUUUGGAGCGUGUCCAGUGACCACUGGCAAGAUAGGAUCAUGAUUCCCAACAUAAAACAAUCUUUUCUUCCAGUCGUCAUGAGAGUCAGGCAAGACAUACUCGAGAUAAGCACUCGAGUUCCUUAGCUGAAAACCGGCCCCUCCAAAAACCUCGGUCCUAGUCGCACUGGGCUGAGGCUUACAGCGAAACAACUUUCUAAAAAGCUCAAGACUAGGAGGGACACCCAGGUAUGAUUCACACAAGUGUACAAAGAUAGCCAUAUGGAGCACGCCAUUGGGAUUAAAGUGAACUAACUGAAGAUUGUAGUACCCGAGAAUACGUCUGAAGAAGUCAGAGGUUGGCACUGUCAGUCCCCUCUUGAUGAAGUGUGCAAGCAUGACCAUAUCCAAAAGCAGGCCUCCACUCGAGUUCAAGCUUUGACUGAAGAAGCUUAGCAUCAACCAAAGCCUGGACUGCUGGUUCCUUCAUCACGGAGUGCUACCAGGUGAUCCCAAGCGGCGGUUGCGCAGUUUGGUUUGUCGGGCCACACUUCGGCGUUGGCAGCACGAGCUCUUUGCCUUUUUUGGAUUUAGAUGUCACCUUACUGGUGGCCGCAGCUUGCCCUUGGGUUUUCUCCGGUUUCUUCUCCAUCUUCUUGAAGCGCAUCAGUCAGUCUCGGGAAAAGUGAAGGAGGGAAGGAUCUGUAGCAGAUCUCACUCAAGGACAAGGAGAAAGCAACAAUGGCGGCGGCGGCGCAGGAAAGGGCGGCGGCUCAAGAUGAACAGGAAAGAGGCAGAAAAACAGAUCUGCUAAAAUAACGUACCACUAAUUACCACUAGGCUAGCCCAAUUAUAUCUCCAUCACCUCCGGAUUCCAAGCGUCAAUCAAGCAACGGUCAGAUAUAAAUCAGAUUUACCAGCAUAAUUUCCAACGGAUACUCUGACCAAAAGGUUUGAUCACUUCAUCGACUACAAAUAAUCGCCUAAGUGCUCGGGGGCUGCGGAUACCGUACCCGCUGGAUAAAGUUUUCUUUUUUCUAAAAACUACUAAAGCUAGAGCAAAGUCACAGGAUUGACCCUCAGCCUGAUUCUUCGAUUCAACCUAAGGCUCGGGGGCUACUCCAUAUGGAGUGUGAUUGUCAUCGCACUACCAUAUAAAAAGUCUCAAGGAUACUCGAGCGAGGAUGCUGAGAGUACCUUCCAGUUGCAUGAUAGCACCGGUACUCAAAGGAUCGGCCGCAUCUACAAAAGCACCAAGGAGAACUCAGGUGACACCCUCAAGUACCCGGAGCUUUCCUCUCGACUACAAAGUACCGGGGGCUUGUCAGGCAUACAUCCCUGGGCCCACGAGUAGGCCUUGUACGGCCCACUCAGGGACGUACUCAGAUGAGAUCAGGAUAUGGAUGGCUACACCAGAGUAACGUAGCCUCCAGACCCCUAAAGACUAGUCAGAAUAGACAAGGAAACUACUCUGCCGACUAGGAGUAGGAUUUUGUAACCAUGUCUGACUAGAACUCCACCCUGUAACCCUGCUCCCCCGACUAUAUAAGGGUGGGCAGGGACUGCCUCAAAAUAGAAGCUAAGAAGUUCAAUACAAUCAACACACAAUAUGUAGGGUAUUACGCGAUCUAGCGGCCUGAACCUGUCUAAAUUGCAUUCCCUGCAUCACCAUUGGCUCCUUGAUUCUCAACGACACCCACCGCACAAAAGACCACCUAGGGUACCCCCUAGGCAGGUUGCCGGUCUAAAACAUCGACACAUACCUCAUGAUAGAGACAACAAGUUAACAGCACAACUCACGAAAAUGGGCAACAAUUUAAUAGCACAACUCACAUAACAAGCUUAUAAACUACUUGACAAGGAAUCACUGAUCCCAUCUAUUCCUCGGAACUCGGCUCACCAGGAUGGUAGCAGAGACAUUGCAGUCCACGGCGGCAAUCACGAGGCUCCAAUAAACAGUAACGAAGUAGUCAACUAGCCAAGACAGCACAGCCGAAGGCAAAGUAGAGAUGAACGCGAGGCCCCAAGGCAAAAUAGGGACACAUGAGAGGUUAGCUGCACCAAUUCAGCAAAAAGCCCUCGCCACCGCAGAGCUGAUCGCGAAGCCUCAAUCUUCAGCGACCUAAGAGAGGUAAUCAAGAACAACCGUCGCCGCGAACGCGAAAGCGAAGCCAAUGACUAUGAUCAUUUCCCCACCUUCACCACAUGGGUAACGAAGACUAAACUACCCAAGAAGUUCAAGCCGACAGGGAUCACCAAGUACGAUGGCAAGAAAGAUCCAGUCCAAUGGCUACGAUGCUACUCACUAGCAGUUCAAGCAGCUAGGGGUAAUGAUGAUACAAAGGUCAUUCACUUCCCCAUAUGCAUGGAACCCAUGCCGUUGACAUGGAUUGAGUCACUCAAACCAAAAUUGAUCGAUUCCUGGGAAGACUUGACGAAGGCUUUCACUAAUAAUUACGCGGGCUCCAUGUCUCGCCCAGGCAACAAAAUUGACCUGAGCCAAGUCAAACAGAAAGAAAGCGAGACACUUCGCGACUACCUACGUUGUUUCUUUGAAAAUAAGGCUACAAUAUUUGACAUUUCAGAAGGUGACAUCACCGAGUGCUUUCAAAAUGGCCUCUAUGAUCGUCGAACAUACCAAGACUUUGGCAAAAAUCACCCAGCCACUGUCAAAGAUCUCAAAAUCAUGGUGCAACAAUGGGCAGAUGAAGAAGACAAAGAGCGAGAGAGAUUCGGCUCUCAUCGCAACCGUGGUUGCGACAACAAUAACAAUAAUCAUGAACAAGAUAGAAACCACAACAAUGAUACUCGAAAUAGCUACUCGGGUAAUCAGAACCGCAAGCGCAAACCUGACAACACUGUCGCGGCUAUGUCCAACUCAGGUAAGAAAGGGUCACACAAACGCAAUGACGGGCCCUCAUUCACCGAGCUACUCAAGAAACAAUGCCCAUGGCAUCCAAAGAGCAAACACUCGGUGAUUCAUUGCUACAGCAUGUGCCGAGUAAUGCAAGAAUUACCUGCACCACCCCCUCCCGUAGACAUUCAUUAGAAAAAAGGACAAGGGUAAAGGCAACAUCGACGAAGUUGACGAAGGUGAAGGUGAGUUCCAAACUGCCUCUAAGACGGUCAACGUCAUUUUUGGUGGAAUCCCGGGUAUCGCGUCCAAGCGGUCCAAUAAGCUAGUACUUAGAGAGAUUAUGGUUAUCAAGCCAGCAGCUCCUACACCACUCAAAUGGUCUAAGGUGCCCAUAACUUUCAGCAGAAAGUGGACAAGUUUCUCAGAACCAGGCCGAUUCCCUCUGAUACUUGACCCUGUCAUCGCAAGCUCAAGACUUACCAAAGUACUCAUCGAUGGCGGAAGCGGACUCAACGUCAUUUUCACCAUAACAAUAAAGGAAAAUGUGCCUCGUCUUCAUAGACAUGCUUAUUCCAAUGGAUUCACCAUUUUACGGAAUUGUCCCAGGCAAUGCUGCCAUACCUUUAGGACAAGUUGUCCUACCAGUCACUUUAGGGACCAAAGAACAUUAUUGAACCGAGUACAUCAGGUUUGAGGUUGCUGACUUCGAAACUUCUUACCACGCCAUACUCGGAAGACUAGCCCUGGCCAAGUUUGUGGCUAUACCACACUACGUGUACCUGGUACUCAAGAUAAUAGGACCUAAAGGCAAGUUGACACUAUGUGGAGAUUUGAGGCGAUCGUACGAGUGCGACACGGAAGCUGUCGAAAUCGUAGCGACUUCUCAAGCACCCAAUCCCAUGCAACAAGUCUUCAUAGCAUCAAAGAAACUUAGCCCCACAGAACUCAAGAUCCCAGAAAACAAGUCGGGAUCGACUAAUGUGAAACCAGCAAGCGAGGAGGACUUCAAACCUGUCAAUCUCCAGACUGGUGACUCAUCCAAGACAGCCCUGAUCGGAACAGGGCUAGACCCUAAAUAGGAAAGCGUGCUCAUCAGUUUUCUUCGGGCUAACCAUGACAUCUUUGCUUGGAAGCCAGCUGACAUGCCCGGUGUGCCCAAGGAGCUGAUUGAGCAUUCAUUAAACGUCAACCCCAAAGCUACCAUAAAAAGACAAUGACUACGAAUGUUCGCCCAAGACAGAAGAGAUGCAAUCAAAAAAGAGCUAGCCAAACUACUCGCAGCAGGGUUUAUCAAAGAGGUUUCCAACCCUGAUUGGCUAGCCAACCCUGUAAUCGUUCGCAAGAAGAACAAUAAGUGGAGGAUGUGCGUCGACUACAUAGACCUCAAUAAGCAUUGCCCAAAGGACCCCUUUUGACUACCCAGGAUCAACCAAGUAGUCGACUCCACAGCUGGGUGUGCUUUGCUCUACUUUCUUGACUGCUACUCAGGCUAUCAUCAAAUAGCCCUCAAAGAAGAAGAUCAAGCCAAAAUAGCUUUCAUCACCCCGUUUGGAGCAUUUUGCUACAAAACAAUGUCUUUCGGGCUAAAAAACGCAGGUGAAACCUAUCAACGAGCCAUCCAGAUGUGUUUCGAAAAGCAACUACACCUCAACGUAGAAGCUUAUGUAGAUGACAUAGUUGUCAAAAUAAGAAACCCCGAUGAUCUAGUCAUAGACUUAGAAGAAACAUUUGCAAGUCUACGAGCAUUCCGGUAGAAACGAAACCCUACAAAAUGCAUUUUCGGUGUACCCUCGGGAAAAUUACUCGGAUUCAUCAUUAGCCACCGUGGCAUUGAGGCCAACCCGGAGAAAAUCUCUGCCAUCACAAAUAUGCAAGCUCCAGCCAGCAUCAAGGACGUGCAAAAGCUUACAGGCUGCAUGGCAGCCCUCAAUAGUUCAUCUCAAGACUUGGAGAACGUGGAUUACCCUUCUUCAAGCUACUCAAAUGCCAAGACAAGUUUCAAUGGAUAGAAGGGGCAGACAAAGCCUUGACACAGCUCAAGGACUUUCUAUCAAAACCACCAAUCCUCAUGGCUCCAUCUCCAAACAAGGACUUGCUCCUAUACAUAGCUGCUACUACUCAUGUUGUCAGCAUAGCAGUAGUAGUCGAAAGGUCUAAACCAGAUCACAUUUACAAAGUCUAGAGACCCAUCUACUUUGUCAGUGAAGUACUCUCGGACUCCAAAACUUGGUACCCACCGGUGCAGAAGCUACUCUACGCAAUCCUUCUUACCUCACGAAAACUGCGACAUUCCUUUCAAGAACACAGCAUAUUUGUUAUCACCGACUUCCCACUUGGUGAAAUCCUUCAUAACAGGGAUGCAACGGGUAGAAUCUCCAAGUGGGCAGUAAAACUCAGAGCUCUGUCUCUAGAUUUCAAACCCAGAACAACUAUCAAAUCCCAAGCUCUGGUCGACUUCAUGGUGGAGUGGAGGGAAAACCAAGUACCAACACUAGUUGAAAGGCCAGAGCAUUGGGUUAUGUACUUCGACGGUUCCCUCAGGCUUAAAGGCGCCGGCGUAGGAGUACUCUUGAUCUCUCCAAAAGGUGAACAACUCAAAUACAUUCUCCAGAUCUUUUAGAAAGUCUCAAACAAUGAAGCUAAGUAUGAAGCACUUGUACAUGGGAUUUGUCUUGCAAUAUCACUCGGUAUCAAACCACUACUAGUAUAUGGUGACUCGCUAGUCGUCAUUAACCAAGUCAAUGAUGAGUGGGGUCGCAACAAGGAAAAUAUGGACGCCUACUGCAAGGAAGUUCACAAACUAGAGAACAAUCUCAGACUUGGAGUUUCACCAUGUUGUUCGCGACAACAACGUAGCCGCUGAUGUGUUAUCAAAAAUGGGCUCAACCCGUGCAGAAGUUCCGGCAGACAUUUUUGUACACGAGCUUCGCAAGCCUUCCAUAACAGUACAAGAUACUCCUACAACUACCAACACAAAACCUCCAGAACCCAACUGAGAGAUCAUGAUGAUUGAAGUUGACUAGAGAUCUCCGUUCAUCGACUACAACAAAGAACAAAAGCUACCAUCUGACAAGAAACAAGCUGAACAAGUCUCACGAUGAGGAAAGAGCUAUGUUUGUCGGUGUUUUAGACCGGCAACCCGCGUAGGGGUUACCCUAGGUGGUAUUUUGUGCGGUAAGGGCCAUCGAGAAUCAAGGAAUAAAUGGUGACGCAAGGAACACGAUUUAGACAGGUUCGGGCGCUAUAUCGCGUAAUACCCUACGUCCUGUGUGUUUGUAUUGAUCUUAGAUGUACUUGGAGUUGUUCUGUUUGAGGGGGGGUCCCUGCCUACCCUUAUAUACACGGGAGGGCAGGGUUACAAGUCCGAGUCCUAGCCGAGUACAAUUACAGAGUUCUACUCGGUAUGGCCCGAGUAGUUUUCCAUGUGCAUACUUGACUAGUCCGAGUAGGAUACGCCUAUCCUCUUGUCUUGAUCAUAUCCGAGUACAUCCUUAGUGGGCUGUUAAGGGUCUAAUAGUGGGCCUGGGGUGCAUGCCCAACAAGCCCCCGAGUACUUUGUAGUCGUGCGGCACAGUCUCGAGUACUGUGGGCACUAUCCGAUUAGUUCGUCAUAGAGGUAGCAGUGUCCAAAGUGCUCGAGUACUGUCACAUGGUUGGAAGGUACUCUUCCUAUUCCUUUGAUUUGCUUCCUAUUCCAAGAAUUUUAUAUGUAGUGCGAUGACAAUCGCACUCCAUAUGGAGUAGCCCCCGAGCCUUAGGUUGAGUCGAAGAGUCAGGCUUAGGGUCAAUCCUACUUCUUGGCUGUUUUACUCUUGGUAAUCUGAAAAAGAAAAUUCUGACCAUCGGGUAUGGUACCCGCAACCUCCGAGCACUUAGGCAAUUUUUGUCGUUGAAGUGGUCAAGACCCGUUGAAAAGAGUAGCUGUUGGGUGUUUAAGGCAAUUAAUCUGCUUAAAACCCAUCCGUAGCGUAACUGAUGCUUGGAAUCUGGAGGUGGCGGAAAUAUAACCGGAGGGCCUCCUUUCGGUUAGGUUUUCGCUCCACUGUGAAUCAAAUCUGCUUUUCUUCUUCCCUUUCCUUUCUGCUCCUUUUUCCACCACCGCGAUUGUCUAGCGCCACCGUCACCAUUGCAGCUCUUUGAGAGGGAUCCGAGGUUUUCUUGCCUUUACUGCGGUUGAAGUCCACGGAUGCGCACCAAGAAGAUGGGAAAGAAACCCGAGAAGACUCAGGGCAAAGCUCCAGUGGCGAUGAAGGUGAAAUUGAAGAAGGGGAAGGAGCUGGUGUUGCCGGCAUCGAAGGUGGGGCCGACGAAUUGAACUGCGCCGCCACCGCUUGGAGCGACAUGGCAGCAUUCUGUGAUGAAGGAGGUGGCCGUUCAGGCGCUUGUCGACACCAAGCUUCUGCAGCCAAAACAAGUACUCGAGUGGAGGCCUGCCUUUGCUGAUGCGUGGCAAUUCGAGACGCAUCCGAAUGAGAUGGUUAUGCUUGCUCACUUUGUGGAGAGGUGACUGGCCGUGCCUACCUCUGACUUCUUCAGAGGUAUCCUCGAGUACUGUAAGCUUCAACUUGUACACUUGAACCCCAAUGGUGUACUGCAUAUGUCGAUUUUUGUGCACCUUUGCGAAGUUUACUUGGGAGUUCCGCCUAGCUUUGAACUAUUUUGGAAAUUGUUUCGCUGCAAGCCUCAGCCUAGUGCACUUAGGACGGAGGUCUUUGGGGGCGCCGGGUUCCAACUUUGGAACUCAGGCGCGUACAUUGACUAUAAUUUGAUUGACUCCCAUGGGGAGUCGAAAACGAGGUGGUUUUAUAUUGGGAACCAUAAUCCUCGCUUGCCGGUGGUUACUGGUCACGCGCCAAAGCAUGCGGAUAACUGGGUGAGCGAGCCUAAAGAUACCCUAGAGCUUGACCACUUGCUGCACCAGAUUUUUGAGUUGAAAGCACUCGGCUUGACUGGAGUUAAUGUGGCGGCCAGCUUUCUCAAGAGAAGAAUUCAGCCCUUGCAAAAACGGGCUCACUUGGGUAGGGAGUACUCAAUGACCCAUCACGUAUGUCUCCGGAUGAUAUUUCUGAUGAUGAUGAUGUUGAGGCGCUGCUAGCCAAGUUCUUUAGGAACAAUCAAGGAGUACCGGUCAUUCCUUCAACUCUUCAUUAGUUUGGUAUCAGCCAGAAGUGGUAUGGCCUUUCACUUUGACUUGUACUUUUUUGAACUCUUGGGAAAUUUGUUUGAAUAUCGACUUGUUUUUGUAGUCCCGAGUCCUUGUUGUCUAUCUAGCACAGUCAGAAGAAGAAUUUGUUGUUGAGAAGUCAGAGGACGAGCCCUAUCCUCCCAUGAAGAAAUGCCGAGUAGUCCGCUGUCACACCCGGUUUUAAGGACAAAACCAAGUGCUACCUAUAUGUAUGCCAGGAUCAAGUUUCAUCCAUAUAGUGACAUCAUUAGUGAAUAACAGCGACAGUAUCACGUAAAAAGAUACAAAGACUUACGAAACCAUCAGAGAUAUACAGCUUAAUUAUGGAAACGGAGGCUCCAAACUUCACAGGCAAUCGACUGGGGUUGCGUACGCCUAGGACUCAGCACCAUCUUCACAAUAACUUCAUAGCAGCUUCUUCUUCUGAGCAACGUUGUUUAUAGCAAGGGUGAGCACUUGUCGUACUCAGCAAGUGUGAGGAGAAUAUGAAUGCAAGGCUUAAACAAGGAAAGGCUGACCGGUUGACUGCAUUAAGCAUUUUUAGUUGGUCAAAUUUUAUUAGCACCUGAUUACUAAGGUAUAAGUAUAUACCAACCCACAAUUAAUAGAGACAUAACCAUAAGCCAUAAGCAUAUGGCACAACCAUAACCAUAGCAUAAACCACAAUUUAAAUCCAUCUUCAAGUAUAUUACUCAUGUGAGGGUCCAGGCCGCUCUUAACCGUGAGCACGGCUGAUCGAUCAGUUUUACACUCUGCAGAGGUGGCACAUCUUUACCCACAAGUCGCGUAAAAGUUCAAAAGAACUUUAGACCCAACCAUGCUUGUGCUGAUCAGGCACAAUACCACACUUCCAAGGUGUGAUUGCAUAGGGACGCUACGAGGCCUUUACAAAGAUUCACUAGUCAGUGGUAACCCGCUAAGGUUUCGGUGUCUGGCGUGCACCACCCAUCCCAGGUAAAAUGCAACGACUCAGUCCCCCCUCUUGCCUCAUCACGAGUAAGGUCACCCCAGACUAAGGUUUCUAAUUAAUCAGCCAAGACCAGAGCCAUUUAGUCUUGUGGUAGCACUGUUUUCCUGGGUGGUUCUCCAUGUUCCAAUUAACAUAAUGAUCUUGAAUUAAAGAAAGGUGUAGCAUAAAUAAAAUAAGUUCAUCAUCUUUGUUCAUUAGAACCACCAUAACCCAAGUAUAGCAGCUAAGCAUAGCUACCCAACAGAAAGGUAAACCCAGGUUGGCAAGGAAUAAUCAUAAAAACUAGGCAAACCUUAAUAGGACCCAACAAAUUUAAUGCAAGCAUAUGCAAUAGUGAUUAAACAAAGUUAUUAGGACAAAAGCACAAGGACACACUUGCCUUUCUCCAACGAAAAGUUACUCUUACUUCUCUUCGGCUCUUGUUCACUUGAAACUCUUAAUCUUCAAAGCUUUCGAACAGCGAUCCUUCUACUCGAAGCAAUCACCGGCACAAUCAUACAAGUAAACAAACAAAUAAAACUAAGAGCAGUACACCAAAACAAAAGGAAAGCUUUAAAAGAGCGUACUAACGACAAGGCUCGAUCUAAGGUCACGCGAACAUAAGGAACACUUAAAACGGAACUAUGGUUGAAAAGAUAAAGCUAUCGAGAGUUUUGAAUUAUAAAAGAAAGAUAAGAGCUACAAGCUUUAUUUAUUUUAGUUGAGAAAAGCAAUGUAAAGAUAUUUUAGAGAAAUAUCCUUAGUUAGAAUUAAUCAAGUCAUAUUUAUAUUUUCAUAAGAAAAGACGGUGUAAAGCUGACUCCAAUUUUAUUUAUAAAUAUUUGAGUACAAUUUAAGCAAAUUAAACAUUUAAUUUAAAAAUAAGAUACAUGUAGACAUCUAAGCGUAUAGCUUUACAUCUCGAGUUCAACUAAGUAGAUUAAAUUAAAAAACAUUUAUAUUUAUAUUAGCCAAAUUAAUAUUUAAUUAUGAAAACUCGAGAUAUAACCUAUACAGAUUUUAUUUAGAAAACAAAUUGAAUAAACAUUAAUCAAAUUGAAUUUAAUUUAUGAAACGCCGAGGUAUAACUCUAAGUGGCUUUUAAUUGGAAGAAUUAUUUAGAUAGGCAUUAAUCCAAUUAACUUUAGUUUAUGAAAAACCGAUAUAUAACCUAAUUGGCUUUUAUUUAGAAGAGGGUAUGAAGUAGGUAUUAAUCAAAUUAACAAUUAUGAUGAAAAAUGAUGUUUAACACUAAAUAGAUUUUAUUUAGAGAAGAACUCAUUUGUCAGGCAUUAAUCAAUUUUAAUAUAAAUUUUAUUUUCAAAAACAUGUGUGAAGGAAAACAUUACCACUAACGUGUAAUUUACAUCAUUAUGAAUCUAACGCAACUUGAACGGACAAAAACGGAAUUAAAAUGUAAAAUCUAUGGGUUAAACGGCGUUGCAGGGGUCUAAACGUAAUUAACCGUAGACUUGGAGGGUUAGCAAGGAAAUUUUGCAAGACACCAGGAAUAGUGCUCGCGAAAAGGUGAAAACUCGGGGUUAGGUCUGCAAAAGGUCAAGGCUUGGAUUAGAUUGAAAGAAUGCAAGAAUUACAGGGGCCUCACUGAAAGAUUUACAAGACACAAGAAUUAAGAAAAAGAAAAUAGGAGAGGUCAGGGGCUAGAUUGAAAAGUGGCACCUCAUCUUCUUCCUCACGCCAGGAGCAUGGCGCAGCUCCUGGCCGGCGGCCUGCCGGGGCUCCGGUGCGGCGGGGACUCGGGUGGGUGGUCCAGGCGGUGGUGGCCGGGCUGCUGGCCCCGACGGUGAUGUGCGGGCGGCAUCUCGGCCAGGAGCAGGCGGCGGACAGAGGGGCGCCUGCGAGCUGCGAGCAGAAACAGAAGGAGUCUGUUGCAACUGUUGCAGAAACAAGGAAAAGAGAGAGAAAGAGGGGAUCGUCGGAAACGAAGUCCGAUCUCGCGCAUGAACGGCAAAAUGGAACGAUAUCGACGAGACGAAUAAGAUGGUGUGCUCACUUUCGACCAGAGAUGAAUAAUGGCGGCGGAAAAGCUCGCCGGAGUUGGGGAAGACGACGGAGCCGACAUCGGAUUCAUGCAAUCCACCACACCACGGCGUAGAGCUUGAAGAGAGGAACUCCAUGGUGGUGUCGGUUUUCGCCGGAAGUCCACGGUUUCGCCGGAAAAGCUCGCCGGAGUUUGACGAAGACCGAACUUUGACUUCAGAUCUACGGAGUUAGGAGAGGUAACUCGUGAAAAGGUUUGUAGUGAAAUCCUCGCGUCGAGACGAACGCGGUGAUAUAUAUAUAGGCCACACUCGGAAAAAGAUAUUUUCGAGUUGACUUUUUAUUUUCAGAAUUUCUGAUUUUAUUUAUCUGCGCGAAAACAAUUCCAGAAAUAGCUGGACUCAUUUUCUAAGGUGAGAAAAAUACCUAGAAAAUUCCGAAAAAUCUGAGAUAAAUCUCAGAGAUGAAUUGGGAUGCAAGGAAUCCAAAUAAAAUACUUGGAGCUCGUGAAAAGGAUUCUAGAGCCUUCCAAAAAUUGGAUUUAGCUCUAGGAAAUGGAGAAUAAAUUCCAGAAAAAGAUGGAAAAUCCUCACAAGGAUCUGGGCAACGUCUAAACGCAUUUUUCAAACUUGUGCACUCAAGAAACACCAAGAUGCAGCGACAUGAAUGCACAGACAUAGAACAACAAUAUUUAAUUUAUAAAAGCAAAUAAUUAUUUUUCCUAUACUAAAUUUCCUGUAAAGAAAAUAAUUGUUGGGAAAAUUUUAAAAUUAUGAGAAAAUCAUUGUUUAUUUAUUCCUUUUAUUCACAUCCUGAAAUUCGGAAAUUUCAGGGUGUGACAACACUACCCCCCUUAACAAGAAUCUCGUCCCGAGAUUCGCAAAGGCUAGCAAGAGACAAAGGUUUAGGUGGGUAGCAUCCAACACUUAUUAGCUUCUUCCUAGAUCGUUCAUCCUUACGUAAGCUUCUCAAUCAUGCUUCUUUAUGCUUCACUACAUCACAUAAAACACUUUAGGGAUACUUAGUCUAAUUCCUCUUUUAAGUAUCCUUUCCUUUCCUCUGCUUCUUUGGCCCAUCUUUGAAGAAUUUUCUUCAUUUCUUGGUAAAGUGAUUUGAAUAGAGCUGAAUUGCUUCCCUCUGGCUCGACUAUCAUCCUUCAAGUCUUCAUACACAUCCUUUAGUCUUCUUCUCCAUCUGGUCCAAACGCUUCUUGGAACAUUGUCUGAUGAAAUGUCUCUCUUAUUUGCAGUAGAAACAUGUUAUUCUUGCUUUGGUACUUUGGCAACUAGAUGUGGUAUGGGAAUUGGCAUUGGAAAUUGGUGGCAUUCUUUCUUGACUGAGGCAUCCUAAUUAUUUGUCCUGACAAAGAGGCCAACUGAUGUUGUCGGUUUGAAUGCAGGGCUAUUGGAUCCUUGGCCCUGGGGUUGAUCAUCUUUCUCUUUUGCACACCAACUAACAAGAUGUUCGUUCUCUCCACACUUGAGGCAAUAUAUUUUGGCUCCAACGGACCUGGUCCACUUACACUUUAUUGGAUAGUUAUUUGUAUAAUGGCCUUCUUCACCGCAUCUGAAGCAUAGUCUUUUAUUACAUCCUUCUUGUCUUCCUUUCUGCUCCAUGGUAGCUAUCGGUGGAAUAGCUUGCGCAUUGGGAUUCUUCUUGAUGGGGUUGCCACGUGGAUGGUGAACAACUUUAGGCUAUAGUUGGUGGGAACUAGGCUGAGUACUAUUAUCUGCCAAUGGUUGUGGUAACUCCAUCUUCUUUUGAUUUGCUUUACUAGUUGGCUUCUUGGCUUGCCUACUCCUCCAGGGCUGAAAUUCUUUGAAAGAGAUACUCCAACCCUCAAAGUUCAUAGUGUGAGUACUAUCUUCAUCUUGAGUGACUUCCUCUUGGUCUAGCCCUUGGGCAUACAACUUCCUCUUCUUAUUGAUGUCCAAAUAAUAAUGUUGUCUAGCUUCAACUGUCAUUAAGCUAUCUUCUUCCUGGAGACAUGGAAGACCAUGGUGUUCACAACACUGGCGUGUUCCCAGAAUCUUAACAUCCUCAUGUUGCCUCUCCAUUUCUAGCUCUGGCGCUAUACGGCUUGGCUUGUUCCUUUGACGGUUCCAUGCUUCGGCAACUUGCCUCUUCAGUGGUCCAGUAGAAAUUCUAACUUUGGUCAUUUCCAUGUUAUGAGGGGUUGAUGUGUCAAUCUGUAUCCUUCCUUGCAAGACUUGAGCCUGCAUGGUUAAUAGCUUCUCGUUGUCGAACGGUGGUGGAACAGACGGAACCUGAUGGUCAUCACUAGUGAUAGGGCUGUGGUUCUGAGGAAGUGAGGCUUGCUCUGUGAUAUACUGAUGGAUAUUGACCAUGGUUUGAGACAUUGCUUCUAAAACAUGGGUUUGUGUUGCCAUAUACUCUAACAUCUUGCGUUCGAAUGAUGCGGCUACAGGUGGAAUGUUAAGAUCUCCUUCAUUGGCCCUAUCUUCAUGAUUUUCAUUGGGACUCGCCAGUUGAUUCGGUGAUAACGAUAGGAUCAGAAGAAAAUAGGAAAUGGAUAAAAUUGCAGAACAAGAUAGAGCACUUCAUGAUACCUUCAUCUUUUCUUGGGUUGUCAUCCGAGUAAGGUAGAAGGAAGGAUAGAAAGCAGCAAAGUGGCAAGUAAACUAGGGUAGGGCCUUCUUUUCUUCGACUUGCUUCUAUUCCGACGGUGAUAGUGGCGAUAGCCUCUGCUUGUUGAUAUUGGUGUUGCCUUCACUCUCUUCUUGAUGUCCAUCAGAAUUGGGAGAUAGAAAGAAAAAUAACAAGGAUGUGGGAGGUACAAGCAGACUCGAAGAGAGAAAAGAAAACAAAGAGGUGGGAGACAACAAGUUCCUUAUGGUAGAGUGGAUAGUCUUCCAUCUUUGCUUGUCGCGAGUAGAAUCUCGGUGCUUUCUUCAUCUUCUUUGAUUCUCGUAAUCAUCAUUAGAGUAAGAUGGAGAUCAAAGUAAAGCCUUCUAUUCUUCAACUUGCUUCUAGCGAGAUGGUGGUGGUGAUGUUAACUCUUGCUUGUUGACGUUGGUGUUGACUUUAGUUCUCUCUUUUCUGAUGCCCUUCAUUGGUUCGGGUAGAAAGGAAUGGAUGACAAGGAUAUGGGAGAUUCAAAAGAAGAACCCAGCUAGGCAACUGAUGUCAUUGUAGAUAGAAGACCCACAAUACACCAACAAUCAUUACAAAGAAACAAAUCAGACAAUUUCAUAAAGACAAGCAUCAUCAUGCAAACACAAAAUUCCACCAGUCAACACAGAGUCAAGAAACGAUGCUAAACAUUGUUAAUAAGGCUGCAAGGGGUACUCCUAAGCAGAUGUUGUUUGGUAAGGCUUCAACAUGCUUGGUGUAGGUACCUUCGACUUGUCAAGCGUCGACUCCAGCUUUUUGAUAGUGUUGGCGGUGGGGAUGGCAAAAUCUUCUCUAGGUGGUGAAUAGGUAGCUCCAUUCUUCAGAUGUCUUGAGCAGGCUUUAAGAUAGGUGGCAUGGAUCAUCUAGAUAUUUUUGAAUAAAAUGAGACAUUUUGGGAAUCAAAAGUCAAGGAAAAGAUUCCAAGGUAGCAUUUAUUUGAAAAGCAACGAGAGGUACAAUGGGGUAGAUGGAUAUACUGAAAAUAAAGUUAAGGAAGAGAUAGGUUUACAAGGAUAAGUAUGUAAGGAAAAUAUUAAGGAGAUAAAUGAACAGGGGAUGAGAGAGUAGCAAUAUCACUAAGAAAUCAAGGAGGUGUAUUGCAUCAAACAGGUAAGAUCAUUCAUCAAGAAGGAGAUGCAUGAUCAAGAUCAAGCAGUGAUCAAGGAGAGAGGAAAUAAAUAGACAAGGAUUGAGGGUCUAACAUUUGCAAGACAAGAAGUGCAAAUGAAAAGAGCUCAAGUUAUCAUGGAGGAUUGAGAAAAGAAAAUGAUCAAGGAGUGAGAAUAUUUUUCAGAAAGGUCAAGGAUAAGGCAGGAAUUGUUUAUAUAGUAAAACAGACCUUAGGAAGUGACCAUUGCUAUCUAGGCUUACGUCCUACAGUCGAUACGGCUCUGAUACCACUUCUGUCACACCCGGUUUUAAGGACAAAACCAAGUGCUACCUAUAUGUAUGCCAGGAUCAAGUUUCAUACAUAUAGUGACAUCAUUAGUGAAUAACAGCAACAGUAUCACGUAAAAAGAUACAAAGACUUACGAAACCAUCAGAGAUAUACAGCUUAAUUAUGGAAACGGAGGCUCCAAACUUCACAGGCAAUCGACUGGGGUUGCGUAUGCCUAGGACUCAGCAC
rnacentral:lncRNA from 1 species